rnacentral:rRNA from 1 species
GUUAAGCGACUAAGCGUACACGGUGGAUGCCCUGGCAGUCAGAGGCGAUGAAGGACGUGCUAAUCUGCGAUAAGCGUCGGUAAGGUGAUAUGAACCGUUAUAACCGGCGAUUUCCGAAUGGGGAAACCCAGUGUGUUUCGACACACUAUCAUUAACUGAAUCCAUAGGUUAAUGAGGCGAACCGGGGGAACUGAAACAUCUAAGUACCCCGAGGAAAAGAAAUCAACCGAGAUUCCCCCAGUAGCGGCGAGCGAACGGGGAGGAGCCCAGAGCCUGAAUCAGUGUGUGUGUUAGUGGAAGCGUCUGGAAAGGCGCGCGAUACAGGGUGACAGCCCCGUACACAAAAAUGCACAUGCUGUGAGCUCGAUGAGUAGGGCGGGACACGUGGUAUCCUGUCUGAAUAUGGGGGGACCAUCCUCCAAGGCUAAAUACUCCUGACUGACCGAUAGUGAACCAGUACCGUGAGGGAAAGGCGAAAAGAACCCCGGCGAGGGGAGUGAAAAAGAACCUGAAACCGUGUACGUACAAGCAGUGGGAGCCUCUUAAUGGGGUGACUGCGUACCUUUUGUAUAAUGGGUCAGCGACUUAUAUUCUGUAGCAAGGUUAACCGAAUAGGGGAGCCGAAGGGAAACCGAGUCUUAACUGGGCGUUAAGUUGCAGGGUAUAGACCCGAAACCCGGUGAUCUAGCCAUGGGCAGGUUGAAGGUUGGGUAACACUAACUGGAGGACCGAACCGACUAAUGUUGAAAAAUUAGCGGAUGACUUGUGGCUGGGGGUGAAAGGCCAAUCAAACCGGGAGAUAGCUGGUUCUCCCCGAAAGCUAUUUAGGUAGCGCCUCGUGAAUUCAUCUCCGGGGGUAGAGCACUGUUUCGGCAAGGGGGUCAUCCCGACUUACCAACCCGAUGCAAACUGCGAAUACCGGAGAAUGUUAUCACGGGAGACACACGGCGGGUGCUAACGUCCGUCGUGAAGAGGGAAACAACCCAGACCGCCAGCUAAGGUCCCAAAGUCAUGGUUAAGUGGGAAACGAUGUGGGAAGGCCCAGACAGCCAGGAUGUUGGCUUAGAAGCAGCCAUCAUUUAAAGAAAGCGUAAUAGCUCACUGGUCGAGUCGGCCUGCGCGGAAGAUGUAACGGGGCUAAACCAUGCACCGAAGCUGCGGCAGCGACACUAUGUGUUGUUGGGUAGGGGAGCGUUCUGUAAGCCUGUGAAGGUGGCCUGUGAGGGUUGCUGGAGGUAUCAGAAGUGCGAAUGCUGACAUAAGUAACGAUAAAGCGGGUGAAAAGCCCGCUCGCCGGAAGACCAAGGGUUCCUGUCCAACGUUAAUCGGGGCAGGGUGAGUCGACCCCUAAGGCGAGGCCGAAAGGCGUAGUCGAUGGGAAACAGGUUAAUAUUCCUGUACUUGGUGUUACUGCGAAGGGGGGACGGAGAAGGCUAUGUUGGCCGGGCGACGGUUGUCCCGGUUUAAGCGUGUAGGCUGGUUUUCCAGGCAAAUCCGGAAAAUCAAGGCUGAGGCGUGAUGACGAGGCACUACGGUGCUGAAGCAACAAAUGCCCUGCUUCCAGGAAAAGCCUCUAAGCAUCAGGUAACAUCAAAUCGUACCCCAAACCGACACAGGUGGUCAGGUAGAGAAUACCAAGGCGCUUGAGAGAACUCGGGUGAAGGAACUAGGCAAAAUGGUGCCGUAACUUCGGGAGAAGGCACGCUGAUAUGUAGGUGAAGCGACUUGCUCGUGGAGCUGAAAUCAGUCGAAGAUACCAGCUGGCUGCAACUGUUUAUUAAAAACACAGCACUGUGCAAACACGAAAGUGGACGUAUACGGUGUGACGCCUGCCCGGUGCCGGAAGGUUAAUUGAUGGGGUUAGCGGUAACGCGAAGCUCUUGAUCGAAGCCCCGGUAAACGGCGGCCGUAACUAUAACGGUCCUAAGGUAGCGAAAUUCCUUGUCGGGUAAGUUCCGACCUGCACGAAUGGCGUAAUGAUGGCCAGGCUGUCUCCACCCGAGACUCAGUGAAAUUGAACUCGCUGUGAAGAUGCAGUGUACCCGCGGCAAGACGGAAAGACCCCGUGAACCUUUACUAUAGCUUGACACUGAACAUUGAGCCUUGAUGUGUAGGAUAGGUGGGAGGCUUUGAAGUGUGGACGCCAGUCUGCAUGGAGCCGACCUUGAAAUACCACCCUUUAAUGUUUGAUGUUCUAACGUUGGCCCGUAAUCCGGGUUGCGGACAGUGUCUGGUGGGUAGUUUGACUGGGGCGGUCUCCUCCUAAAGAGUAACGGAGGAGCACGAAGGUUGGCUAAUCCUGGUCGGACAUCAGGAGGUUAGUGCAAUGGCAUAAGCCAGCUUGACUGCGAGCGUGACGGCGCGAGCAGGUGCGAAAGCAGGUCAUAGUGAUCCGGUGGUUCUGAAUGGAAGGGCCAUCGCUCAACGGAUAAAAGGUACUCCGGGGAUAACAGGCUGAUACCGCCCAAGAGUUCAUAUCGACGGCGGUGUUUGGCACCUCGAUGUCGGCUCAUCACAUCCUGGGGCUGAAGUAGGUCCCAAGGGUAUGGCUGUUCGCCAUUUAAAGUGGUACGCGAGCUGGGUUUAGAACGUCGUGAGACAGUUCGGUCCCUAUCUGCCGUGGGCGCUGGAGAACUGAGGGGGGCUGCUCCUAGUACGAGAGGACCGGAGUGGACGCAUCACUGGUGUUCGGGUUGUCAUGCCAAUGGCACUGCCCGGUAGCUAAAUGCGGAAGAGAUAAGUGCUGAAAGCAUCUAAGCACGAAACUUGCCCCGAGAUGAGUUCUCCCUGAGACUUAGAGUCUCCUGAAGGAACGUUGAAGACGACGACGUUGAUAGGCCGGGUGUGUAAGCGCAGCGAUGCGUUGAGCUAACCGGUACUAAUGAACCGUGAGGCUUAACCUU